rnacentral:rRNA from 1 species
UACGUAGGUGGCAAGCGUUGUCCGGAUUUACUGGGCGUAAAGGGCGUGCAGGCGGUCUGUUAAGUUCAGGGUGAAAGCUCCCGGCUUAACUGGGAGAGGUCCUUGGAUACUGGCAGACUUGAGGAGGGUAGAGGAGAGUGGAAUUCCCGGUGUAGUGGUGAUAUGCGUAGAUAUCGGGAGGAACACCAGUGGCGAAGGCGGCUCUCUGGGCCCUACCUGACGCUGAGACGCGAAAGCGUGGGGAGCGAACCGGAUUAGAACG